rnacentral:rRNA from 1 species
GAUGAACGCUGGCGGCGUGCCUAAUACAUGCAAGUCGAGCGAACAGACGAGGAGCUUGCUCCUCUGACGUUAGCGGCGGACGGGUGAGUAACACGUGGAUAACCUACCUAUAAGACUGGGAUAACUUCGGGAAACCGGAGCUAAUACCGGAUAAUAUAUUGAACCGCAUGGUUCAAUAGUGAAAGACGGUUUUGCUGUCACUUAUAGAUGGAUCCGCGCCGCAUUAGCUAGUUGGUAAGGUAACGGCUUACCAAGGCAACGAUGCGUAGCCGACCUGAGAGGGUGAUCGGCCACACUGGAACUGAGACACGGUCCAGACCCCUACGGGAGGCAGCAGUAGGGAAUCUUCCGCAAUGGGCGAAAGCCUGACGGAGCAACGCCGCGUGAGUGAUGAAGGUCUUCGGAUCGUAAAACUCUGUUAUUAGGGAAGAACAAAUGUGUAAGUAACGAUGCACGUCUGGACGGUACCUAAUCAGAAAGCCACGGCUAACUACGU